CACGGUUUGGCCGAGUGGUUUAAGGCGUCAGAUUUAGGCUUUGGUCUGAAAGGGCGUGGGUUCAAAUCCCACAGCCGUCA
rnacentral:tRNA from 1 species